UCCGGGAGUGCGGGCCAGGUGACGGCCGCUUCCUGGGCGUGAGGCGGGCAGCCUGCGAUUGUGGUCCCCACCCCGGGAGAUCUGGAACCCGGGUGACCGCGUAGGAAUCUCAAACUCACCACGACCAAAUGGAAUCACAUCUUCACCCAAGAUUGUUCCUGGUGUAACAGUUGUCCAGCUGGGUCAGAAACCUUUGUCCUGCUGGUCUUGGUGACCUCCUCAGUCUUCAAGUCCCAGCUUGAAUUUCACUUUUUCUGUGAUUCCUUCCUUCACUAAUGCAGAAAUGAGCACAGACGCAGAACAACAGCUUCUCCAUCAUGCCAGAAACGGCAAUGCUGAAGAAGUAAGACAGCUGUUAGAAACCAUGGAAAGGAAUGAAGUAAUUGCUGACAUUAACUGCAAA